AGGAAUUAUGACUCAUCAGAAUCCUGGAGAACCUGUGCCUGCAUGGAGUGAACUUAAUAUAGUGCACAACACGGGCCAAUGAACACAGAAUUCUGGUGGACCUACUAUGCCUGGGAUUUCAGUGAGACUCAAAGUGAGUGCAAGUCACCAUCAUAAAGAUUCAAUAUUCAAGACCACGAAGAAGAACCCAGACCAGGGAUUGCUUCAUUUGGAUUCCACCUACCGCAGUUGUUACAUCUAAGUAGGGACAACGAAAAUCUCCUGCUAUGGUCUUGAUCCUAGUCAGUAAAAGAGCAAAUUCCAAGCCUCCUAAGGGGCAUUUUCAUCCUUCCCCAUCUGUCCUUACAGAUAAGGAAGAGAUUCCAGGAAUGACUCGGUUCCUGGAACCUAGAAUUAGUCCCCCUUGUUUUCUUUAUCUAUCCAAAUCCUGUCUUAGGGAUCAACUUUCACAAGCUUUCUCUCCUUAAAGACUUUCACCUCGAAUUACCUUUUUUUUUUGUCAUAUUCCUAUUCCUAUCUGGAGUCACACUCUUGAGAACCUUCUAUACUUUCGUCAUGCAUUUAUUAGCAGAUAUCUAUAAAGUUCCUACAGUGUGUCAGGCACUGUGCUAGGCGCUAGUGCAACAAUGAUGAAUGCUAUACACAUCCACCUCACCCUUUUAUAGUUUAUAGUAUCAUGGGGAGAUGGAGAAGUAGAUGCUCAAUAAACACAUUUUGUCUGAUGGGUAUACCUUGAAACAGCAAAAGUAAAGUCUGUUUCAUCA
rnacentral:lncRNA from 1 species